GGUUCUUAUUGACUGAUACCAUAGAGUCACUCUUGCCUUGGUGGUAGUUUGCAUAAUUGUAGUUAAGGAGCUUCAGCUGCAGUACUGCUCCUCUGAAAUCAUUAUGAGAGUAAGUUUAUGCUCCCUCCAGAGAGUCAUGAUUGGGUACUAAAGUCUUACAACCACAAAUGGAAAGAAUAUGAGAGGAAGUUGAAGGACUAUAAGAAGAAGGGUAGGAAAGAGGAGGAGGUUGCUCGUACUUGUCCUUUCGAUGUACACCCUCAUCAAUGGAGGGAGCUUGUGCGCAACUGAUUUUCUAAAAGAGGACAGAUAUACACUGAUGUUGGUAAAGCUGCAUGAUCCUCUCAGUCGGUGCCUUACACAUCGGGCUUCAUGAGAUGGAAGAGCAUGGAAGGGAGUUUGGUGAGGUUGAAUUUUAUAGGAUGACUUAUACUUAUCGAGAUGACAGCUUUGUAUGAGAGGAGUCUAGAGAUCUUAUUAUAUAUAUUGAUUCAAUCAUUAAAUGAUUUGUAAUAUCAUUUUUUUUAUCAUUAAUAUGCGGGUCUUUUCUUGAAUAUAUAGGAUAGGACAACAAUUCUUAGUGCAGAGCAUGUAGGCAAGUCAUUGUCAUCAUCAUCUAUGAAGAGCAGUUGCGUUGAGGCUCAGAUUUUCACUAAGCUUAUAGGACCGAAGCGUUAUAGUCGAGUGAAGGAUUAUCAAGUUCGAGUCACCUCCACUCGGUUGUCUGCAGUGAGUAGAAAUAUCUGAGACGCUAGACAGAGUAGCAGUAUUGCAGAGGUUUGUAGGUUGGAGACAGAAUUAUAGGAGAUGUGGCAGAGAUUUGACCUACAUAUAGAGGAGCUGAGGUAGAGAUUUGACGUAUAGAUAGAGGAGCAAAGGCAGAGAUUUGACCUAUAGAUAGAAGAGCUGAGGCAAAGCUAUCAGACAGAGAUACUGUCAUUAAAGACUCAGCUUGAUCAAUUACAUCCUUUUUAAGGGAUUUUGCCCCGCAUCAGGCUCUCGAUACUUUCAACAGUUGCAGAGAUGAUAAUGAUGCUAUCAUGGAUAACAUCUUCUGAUAUGCUGAACAAGAACUGAGGCAAUGAAGCAAUGCAAGGAAGAAGCAUCCGUGGCUCUCCAAGUGAUUCUUUUCUUGAGAUGUGCUUGCAGCAAGAAGCAUCAGUGGACUCUCCCUUUGCAGCUGGAACAUCAAGCGAUGACUCCCCCCCACCCUUGCGUUGAAGCAUUAUCCAUGACAUAAUUACCUUAGCAUAGUCUACACUGUUUAUCUGCAGCUUUUGAGCUGUGCCAGCAUCCUUCUGUAUUAGAUAGCAAAUAGAAUCGGCAGUCGGCAUAAGGGAUUUUUCAUCAGAAACGGAUGAAAUCAGGGAACCACAGAGAAGGUAUUAGGUAAUAUUUUCCAGCAUGUCUUUAGUCGGUGGACUGUCACAAGAUACUAGUGGAUUGCCUGAAUUAGUCUUUAGAUGUACAAUGUCCUACAUGGUUCACCAAAUCACUCGUGGGCAUUGAUGACCGAAUUCCAGGUACUUUGAAAUGAUCCUACAGUUAAGAAUCCUGAACUCUUCAGUUUCUCCGACACAGUUUUCUUCAUUUGCCGUAGUGUCCAUCAUUGACAGAUGUAAUGAUGAGGAAAACCAACAAAAGGCAGCAAAUAUGUUCUUACAGGUCAAUUUAACAACAGUAAAUAGUUAGUGGUGCAAAAAGAAGGCUUCAGCAUUUGCAAACUUGGAUGACUGGUGACAUUGUAAUUAUAACAAUCGAGCCAAAUCCAUCUCUACAAACUGAUGAAACUAUUGCAGGAAACUAGCAAUUCCAAAAGAAAAAUAAAAAUCUCCUUCAACAUUCGUAUGAUCACCACAAAUAAUCACCUGUUUCCAAUCCAAUCUUGAUUUAUGCACCUUCUUCCUGCACACAAAUACCUUAUACAUGAGCCCAAAUCAUUUCAGCCACUGCUCCCAGCAAUGUCAGUUUUUCUCUUUUUCUUUUUCGUGAGAAAAAUGGUAGGGGGAGACCUUCCUCACGUUUCGUUGAGAAAUGAAAUGAGUCAUUCAACUGAGGGUUUAAUUUUGUUCCCAGGAUCAAAGUUCACAAAUAUCAAUUUUUUUGUUGGCCACUCUUUUAAAUAUUCUCAGUAGACUGAAAACAAAGAAAAUGGUGGGUAGAACAAACUUACAGCAGUUAGAAGAAGUGCCUGAUGGGAUUUUAAUUCCUCCGUCAACCUCCACCUUCAGAACAGCAAAAGCAUGGAGGAUCUUCAUUUGUUCCUACAUAACCAUAUACUUCAUCAAAGCAACUACUAUGAUAUGAAUGACCACAUGGUAAGACUACGUGCACCAGAACCGCAUGGGAACUGUCUCCUGUCGGCUGGAAUGCUAGGUCCACGUUACAGAGCGGACACUUGCAGCCUAGCGGUUCAGGCACAUCAUCAAUGCGUUCCACUGGAAAAAAAAGAGUUAAAUGUUAAGCACGUUAUAAAAAUUCAUCUUACAGAAUAUAAUUGGCUGCAUAUAUGCUUAGAUAUGGAGAUGGUUAUUGGGCCAUGAUUUACUCAACUGCACCCCCAUGAAAGUGUGGUCAAGCUCCAUGAAUAUUUUCCAGAUUAUCUAAUGACAAUGAUGGAAUAGACCGAACAUGCGCAUGUUAUAAAGUGGCUCCUGAUAUACCCCUUACAUAAAUGUGUUAGAACAUCUAAUAGACUAUCG